UACCAGCACCCCGAGUUGUCGGGACGAUUAUUGGGCCUAAAGCAUCCGUAGCCUGUUCUGCAAGUCCUCCGUUAAAUCCACCUGCUUAACAGAUGGGCUGCGGAGGAUACUAUAGAGCUAGGAGGCGGGAGAGGCAAGCGGUACUUAGUGGGUAGGGGUAAAAUCCGUUGAUCCAUUGAAGACCACCAGUGGCGAAGGCGGCUUGCCAGAACGCACUCGACGGUGAGGGAUGAAAGCUGGGGGAGCAAACCGG
rnacentral:rRNA from 1 species